UCUCUCAUAUCAAUACAAUAACAACCACGACAUCAAUUUCAAUACCCUGUAUAAUUCACAAACACACAAGCAUACUCCAAACCCUGAAACAAACAACUUUCAAUCCAAAGAAUUUGAUCGAGACAAUUCCUUUGAUUACAAUUUCUUUCCACUAAACUCACAACCUUGUGAUAAACAGUGACUAGAAACUUCUAUAUAUCUUCAAUCUUUCACAUCAAUUGAUAAAUUGUGAUUUAUAAACAACUUCGUAAAUCAAACAUUGAUUCAUUAAAGUAAUUCUCUUCACUAGAAUUAACACUAACACAAAAGAAACAAGAAAACUAAGAAGAAGAGAUAGCACCAAGCUUAUCUCGAUUUAUUAUUAUUAUAGUCUGGUAUUUUCUUCCUCAUUGAUUCAUUAAAGCACUUCUCUUCACUAGAAUUAACACUAACACAAAAGAAACAAGAAAACUAAGAAGAAGAGAUAGCACCAAGCUUAUCUCGAUUUAUUAUUAUUAUAGUCUGGUAUUUUCUUCCUCUCUCCCAUCCUCCUUAUACUACCUCGGGAUACCAACUCCUAUACUAUGGAUGAUAACUACUUUUCUUGACUAUUUAUCCAUUCUACCUGCAGAACCACCUUUUUAAUAGUGAUCUAUCCGUGUUUACACUAUACACUAGAUAUCUACGUUCUAAAAAUAACUACUUAUUCUACAUAGCCUCACUCCUAAGUAUAUAGUGUCUCCGUUGUCGGGGUAGAGAGAGUUUGCCUCAAGAAAGCGCUGGGCUUCUGGCUGUCACUAAAUACUCAAUCAAGUUUGAAAUAUAAGGGUAACAAUUUUAUAUAUAUAAACUCCUCUCUUUUGGAGCAAUUACAUCAAUAUACAAGCCUUAAAAUCCAAAGAACACCAAAAUACUUGAUAAGGUGUUAUAAAAAACUUAUAUAUCCUUAUGAGGAAUUUUUCCCGAAGUUCAAUAGCUCAUAACUUACGAUCUAACCGUCUAAACAACUCCAAAUUUUACAUGGAGUACUGAUAUAUCUUUAGCAACUAUCACACCAAAAUUCAACCGUAAAUUCGUCUUGGAUCUUGUGAUAUCUUGAAAACCCUAACUGUAGCUUCAAACCCUAGCUUUUUUACACCCAUGUACAACUUCCUUCAUAUCUCACAAAGUAAUUAUUCAAAUACUAUGAAACUUUGAUCUAAAGAUUUUUAACCCAAUUACACACACUUGUGGAAAUUUUGAGCCAAAAAUUCGUCUAGAAACUCAAGAUAUGGCUUCACCUAUAACUAGCAACAAAACGAUAUACUUACUGCCUUCAAAUUACAAGUGCUGUCUUCAACGCCUCAUAACUCCUUCACCCAAUCUUAGAAUUCACUAUACAGUAAGUAGAAUGUAUAGCUGAGAAAAUGCUCUCUCCAAAUCCAGUCGCCGAUCUUCCGUUGCUCUCCGUGUUCGUAUGUGAUGCCCAAAAGAAGUGACAGUAGGUACGAAAUUAACACCUUAUCUUUGAACAUUCAUAUCUUUUUCAUAAAAACUCGAAAUCACACAAAAUCUUCACCCAAAUUAUACCCAAAACCCUAAACCUUCUGACCCUAGCC
rnacentral:lncRNA from 1 species